UACGUAGGGGGCAAGCGUUGUCCGGAAUCAUUGGGCGUAAAGCGCGUGUAGGCGGUCCGGUAAGUCGGCUGUGAAAGUCCAGGGCUCAACCCUGGGAUGCCGGUCGAUACUGCCGGACUAGAGUUCGGAAGAGGCGAGUGGAAUUCCCGGUGUAGCGGUGAAAUGCGCAGAUAUCGGGAGGAACACCAAUGGCGAAGGCAGCUCGCUGGGACGUUACUGACGCUGAGAAGCGAAAGCAUGGGGAGCGAACAGG
rnacentral:rRNA from 1 species